UACGUAGGGGGCAAGCGUUGUCCGGAAUCAUUGGGCGUAAAGAGCGUGUAGGCGGCUUGGUAAGUCCGCUGUGAAAGUCCAGGGCUCAACCCUGGAAUGCCGGUGGAAACUGUCAAGCUCGAGUCCGGAAGAGGCGAGUGGAAUUCCUGGUGUAGCGGUGAAAUGCGCAGAUAUCAGGAGGAACGCCAAUUGCGAAGGCAGCUCGCUGGGACGUUACUGACGCUGAGACGCGAAAGCGUGGGGAGCAAACAGG
rnacentral:rRNA from 1 species